rnacentral:lncRNA from 1 species
UUCAUUUGAAUAAACAACUGGGCAAUACGCCUUAUCCCUUUCAGAAGCACAGCUCAUUUGCUUUCCCAUCGAAUCUGAUAGCUUCCCUUUCCCCUCCUCCGUGUAGUUAAAUUGAUGUCUCUGUAUGAACACUGUUUGAGGCGACUAGUAUGAACCCUGUUUGCGGCGACUAGACGUAUUGAACAUACUUUUUUUUUCUUCCAGUUGACUCAGCAUGACUUGAACAGUCUCAAAUUGUGUGUAAAGGAUUUACUCGCUAGCAGUUGGUGUAAUGGUGGCAGGA